rnacentral:rRNA from 1 species
UACAGAGGGUGCGAGCGUUGUCCGGAAUCACUGGGCGUAAAGGGCGCGUAGGUGGCGACCCAAGUCGAUGGUGAAAGCUCGCCGCUCAACGGCGAGUCGGCCACCGAUACUGGGUUGCUUGAGCACUGUAGAGGCUAAUGGAAUUCCGGGUGUAGCGGUGGAAUGCGUAGAGAUCCGGAAGAACACCGGUGGCGAAGGCGGCUCACUGGACCAUAACUGACGCUGAUGCACGAAAGCUAGGGGAGCAAACAGG